rnacentral:misc_RNA from 1 species
GCAAACUUGGUCAUUUAGAGGAAGUAAAAGUCGUAACAAGGUUUCCGUAGGUGAACCUGCGGAAGGAUCAUUAAUGAAUUAAACUUGGUAGGGCUGAUGCUGGUUCCCUGGAACAUUGUGCACGCCCUGCCUUUUAUUCUUAACCACCUGUGCACUCUUUGUAGACUGGGAAACACUCUUUUCGAGGUCACUUGAAUGUGUGAGAGCUUGCUGGGUUCAUGUUAGAGCCGGCGGCUGCUCUUGAGUUUCUCAGUCUAUGUCCUUACUAUUAACACCAUUCGCAUGUCUUUGAAUGUAAUCGUCAGGCGUUUUAUUAUGCCUCUAAUUGUAAUACAACUUUCAACAACGGAUCUCUUGGCUCUCGCAUCGAUGAAGAACGCAGC